GCAGCGGUGGCGACAACGGUCAUCGCGCCGGACCUAAGCACUCCGGAGACGCGGGUUCAACUCCUGUCCGCUGCA
rnacentral:tRNA from 2 species